ACCUAAGAGAUUAAGCGUUCCCUUCGGGGACGGAAUGACAGGAGGGGCAUGAUGAUUUGACGUCAUCAGCUCGUGUCGUGAGAUGUUGGGUUAAGUCCCGCAACGAGCGCAACCCUUAUGAUCAGUUGCCAGCAUUCAGUUGGGCACUCUGGUCAGACUGCCGGUGACAAACCGGAGGAAGGCGGGGAUGACGUCAAAUCAUCAUGCCCCUUAUGACCUGGGCUACACACGUGCUACAAUGGGUGGUACAACGAGCAGCGAGACCCCGAGGUCAAGCUAAUCUCUUAAAGCCGUUCUCAUUUCCAAUUGUAGGCUGCAACUCGCCUACAUGAAGUUGGAAUCCCCUAGUAAUCGUGGAUUAGCAUGCCACGGGUGAAUACGUUCCCGGGGUCUUGUAACC
rnacentral:rRNA from 1 species